AAAUGACCUUCAUCACAAUGAUUUCCAUCAUAAAAUCUUAUUCUUAUAAGAUUUGAUCUUCAACAACUUUACGUCCCAAACUCUAGAUCUCAUUCAGAACAUGCAUUCGGUGACAAAAGUUCCAAACAAUCCACUCAACUGGUGGAAGGAAUAAGUUAGAUUUGAAGCAAUAUGAAGUGUUGAAUCUCUUUUUUUUUUUUCUUUUUUUUUUUCCAGAACCAAUGAUUUUUCCACUUCUGAAUGCCUCAAAUCAGAAGACAAGGUUGUUAUUUGUGGAC
rnacentral:misc_RNA from 1 species